rnacentral:rRNA from 1 species
GGGUCAGUAGGUUGGUCGUGCUACCGGUACGUACUGGUCUCACUGAUCCCUCCUUCCUGAGGAACCGUAAUGCCAUUAAUUUGGUGUUGCGGGGAAACAGGACUGUUACUUUGAAAAAAUUAGAGUGUUUAAAGCAAGCUAACGCUUGAAUACAUUAGCAUGGAAUAAUGAAAUAGGACGAUCGAUCCUAUUUUGUUGGUUUCUAGGAUUGACGUA